rnacentral:rRNA from 1 species
GGGUGAGUAAUGCGUAGGAAUCUACCUAGUAGUAUGGAAUAGCCAUUAGAAAUGAUGGGUAAUACUGUAUAAUCCCUGCGGGGGAAAGAUUUAUCGCUAUUAGAUGAGCCUACGUUAGAUUAGCUAGUUGGUAAGGUAAUGGCUUACCAAGGCUAUGAUCUAUAGCUGGUCUGAGAGGACGAUCAGCCACACUGGAACUGAGAUACGGUCCAGACUCCUACGGGAGGCAGCAGUGGGGAAUAUUGGACAAUGGGCGAAAGCCUGAUCCAGCUAUGCCGCGUGAGUGAAGAAGGCCUUCGGGUUGUAAAGCUCUUUCAAUAGGGAAGAU